CAAAUACUCCCUCCGUCCGGAAAUACUUGUCAUCAAAAUGGAUAAAAGGAAAUGUAUCUAGACGUAUUUUAGUUUUAGAUACAUUUCUUUUUAUCCAUUUUGAUGACAAGUAUUUUCGGAUGGAGGGAGUAGAAA
rnacentral:pre_miRNA from 1 species